GCACGAAGCAGAAGAAAUCACCCUGCUGAGUCUUGAUCAAAUUUUUGACCUGCAAAGUCAUGAGUCAUACAGAUGAGAAGACUGACAUGGACCUCAUUGGGCCAACAUCAAAGUGGACACAUAAGGCCAGAGGACCAUGUGACAGCAUCUUCAGUGCAUCGAGGGAGUGCAUCAACCUUGGCUUUUGUACUGAGCUAAACGAUGACUCAAGAAGACAGGUGGAGGACAUUUUCACAACUCUUUCUCGUCAAAGAAAGAAAGAAAAUUCAAGAAGAUUGCCACUCACAUACCUCACAGCUGAAGAAACUACUAAGUCUGGAUUCUAGAAAAAUGGAAGUUGAACUCUGAGCAUGGUGGCCCAUAUCUACAGAGUGCCUCCCUGGUGCCCCUUCCUGAAGAAAAAGAUUUCAACUCUGUGGCCAUCAGGCUCAAGUGGAUUAACUACUUCUGAGCAUUAGAGACUGAGAUGAAUCCUCCCGAAGAAAUCUCAUCACAGAUGGUUCGGAGCCGCACUGAUUAGAAUGCUUACUGUUCCAGCACUAGGACACGUUUAGAGUGCGAUGACUUGAGUUAUCCUGCGAUCAGGAGGGAAAGGCCAAAAGAUUUCCAGAAACUUCAGCCCUGACACCUUUGAACAGAUGAAUAAGACAGAUCUU